rnacentral:rRNA from 1 species
GUAGUCUCGCACAGAUGCAUAUCAAUAAGCGGAGGAAAAGAAACUAACAAGGAUUCCCUCAGUAACGGCGAGUGAAGCGGGAAGAGCUCAAAUUUGAAAUCUUGAAAGGUCACCUUUCACGAAUUGUAGUUUAAAGAAGUGUUUUCUGUUACGAUCGUAAUAUAAGUUCUUUGGAAUAGGACAUCACAGAGGGUGAGAAUCCCGUCUAUGAUUGCGAUUUGUAGCUUUGUGAUACACUUUCAAAGAGUCGGGUUGUUUGGGAAUGCAGCCCAAAACGGGAGGUAAAUUUCUUCUAAGGCUAAAUAUUGGCGAGAGACCGAUAGCGAACAAGUACCGUGAGGGAAAGAUGAAAAGAACUUUGAAAAGAGAGUUAAAUAGUACGUGAAAUUGUCAAAAGGGAAGCGUUUAACACCAGUGUUGUUUUCUGAAAAUCAACCUCUGUUAGCUUCAUGCAUGUUUGUUUAGACCUAAUCAGCUAUCUUUCAUGUUCUAUUGUUUGCAGUGGUGCACUUUUCAGUUUACAGGUCAACAUCAGUUUUUUUUACCGUAAAAAAGUUAAAGAAAGGUAGCUCAUGGCUCCGGUCGUGAGUGUUAUAGUCUUUUUCCUAUGCGGUAGGAGAGACUGAGGUCUGCAGUGUAGGCUAUUUGGCUAGAUACUCAGGUGCUAUGUGAUACCAUUUCAUAAACAACUUGUUGAUUAUGUUUUGUCUAUUGCAUACUCGCUUGUACUAUCAUACCUACGCUUAGGAUGUUGAGUCGUAAGCACGCAG